CCAGAGAAUUUAGCAGAGAUGCUUUAGUGCCUUCGGGAACUCUGAGACAGGUGCUGCAUGGCUGUCGUCAGCUCGUGUUGUGAAAUGUUGGGUUAAGUCCCGCAACGAGCGCAAUCCUUAUCCUUUGUUGCCAGCACGUAAUGGUGGGAACUCAAAGGAGACUGCCGGUGAUAAACCGGAGGAAGGUGGGGAUGACGUCAAGUCAUCAUGGCCCUUACGAGUAGGGCUACACACGUGCUACAAUGGCGCAUACAAAGAGAAGCGACCUCGCGAGAGCAAGCGGACCUCAUAAAGUGCGUCGUAGUCCGGAUUGGAGUCUGCAACUCGACUCCAUGAAGUCGGAAUCGCUAGUAAUCGUAAAUCAGAAUGUUACGGUGAAUACGUUCCCGGGCCUUGUACACACCGCCCGUCACACCAUGGGAGUGGGUUGCAAAAGAAGUAGAUAGCUUAACCUUCGGGAGGGCGUUUACCACUUUGUGAUUCAUGACUGGGGUGAAGUCGUAACAAGGUAAGCGUAGUGCU
rnacentral:rRNA from 1 species